AUUGAACGCUGGCGGCAGGCCUAACACAUGCAAGUCGAGCGCGCGUCGGACGGGUGAGGAAUGUAUGGGGACUGCCCGAUAGAGGGGGAUAACUACUGGAAACGGUAGCUAAUACCGCAUCCUAUCGACUAACCCAUAUGGGAUUAGCUAGUAGGUGAGGUAAUGGCUCACAUAGGCGACGAUACCUAGCAGGUCUGAGAGGAUGAUCAGCCACACGGGGACGUAGACCCGGCCCAGAUACGGGGGGAGGCAGCAUGGGGGAAUAUAGCACAAUGGGCGCAAGCCUGAGGCAGCCAUGCCGCUUGUAUGAAGAAGGCCCUAGGUUUGUAAAGUACUUUCAGUCGGGAGGCGUGACCGACAGAAGAAGCACCGGCUAACUCCGUGCCAGCAGCCGCGGUAUAC
rnacentral:rRNA from 1 species